CAAACGGACUCAGCGGAUGAAAUGCGUAAUUGGAGUUGCCCUGACUCCUAGAGAUCCGGACCAAUGGAAGGUCGCAUCCAACGUCUGAUGACGCCCCGACAACAAAGUCGUCGCCUGGUCUCCUCCGCCGCUCCCGCCACUCUCCUGCUCCUACUCCUCGCCGGCGCCGCCGACGCCGUGCCACCGCUAGUCGGAGUUUCUCCCCAGGACGAGGCGUACUUCGCGCCGCAGGUGAUUGCCUGCAGGGACGGCUCGGGCUCCUUCCCCAGGAGCCGGCUCAACGAUGGAUACUGCGAUUGCACCGAUGGAACCGACGAGCCAGGCACUUCGGCUUGCCCAGAAGGCAAAUUUUAUUGUACAAACAUUGGAGAUCUUCCUCGUAUCUUGUUCUCUUCGUUUGUGAAUGAUAACAUUUGCGAUUGCUGUGAUGGAAGUGAUGAGUAUGAAAGUGGCAUCCAUUGUCCGAACACAUGUAAAAAGAGACAUGAUGCUGCCGAGACAGACAAUGGUUUUAGUGAGCUGUCAGUCGCACAUUUAGGUGGAACAGACAUAAUUUCUAGUAAACAUACACUUGACAUAGAAGAUCUUAUCCAGAAGCUAAGAGGAUUAAGAAUGGCUGCAGUUAUUGAACUGGGUCUUGUUGUAUGUAUUUUCGUUUUCUACUUUGCUCGACGGAGCACUCGGGCACGGAGGAGACAAUAUAUUUUGAAACGUUAGAAAAGUUUUAAGCUUCUAGGGCUGAUCGAGAAUUGGAGAUGGGAAGGUCAGGCAUCCACAAGCAGUUGCAGCCGACACAAGGAGCCAGUCAGCCAGUGGCGCUUUGGCCAGCCCCGUAGAUUGUCGUCUGGCGGAUUGCGACUGUUAUCCUAGGGCAGAGGGAAGGCUAUGAAGUUCCGUCCGUGCUUGUUAUGCGAACUGAAGUUUUGACUGCCGCUUCUCUUACCUUGAUCGCUGCCUGUUUUGUCUUUGGGGAUCGAUGCAUCAUUGUUUGUUCUCGUAGGUGCAUCAAUCUUUGAUCACAUGAUGCUUGCCUUGAUGUAAUGUCUACGGUGGUGUAAGAAACUCUGGCUGGUGGUAAUGCGUAACCUGUUUAUUAUAUCAUCACUCUAACCACGGUACGUAUGACAAUAUUUCAUCCGACACUGAACCAUCGCCCUUGAUCAAACAGUAUCCAACUUCACACUCUUGCAUCGGUAACUUCACCUUUUGAACCUUAAACCCUUUCUAGAAACGAAAUCACCUCAUGAGAAAAAGAAAAGAAAAGAAAAGAAAAGAAAAGACCUGCUGGGCCUUUGGGCUUACGAUGAUAUACCCACCCCACAAUGUUCCUGGCCCACUAGGGUUUUACGCCUCGUCCUUCACCCGCCUCUUCGGCCUCGUCGCACUCUGCCUAUAAUCUAUAAAUCCCCCCGAACCCUAAACCCUUUCGCGGCGCCGCCGCCGUCUCGGAGCAUCGCACGGCAGCAAGCCCAUCGCCCCCCACCGCCGCACGGCGACCUCAGCAACUCCGGCCAGGAUGGUCGCGUUCAGGUGCAGUUCCACCAGUACCAGGUGGUCGGGAGGGGCCUGCCGACGCCGACCGAGGAUCAUCCCAGGAUCUACCGCAUGAAGCUCUGGGCCACCAACGAGGUCCGCGCCAAGUCCAAGUUCUGGUGAGGACAUGAUUCAAAUUUGGAAGCCUCUCGAGAAUGCGUGAAGAAGAGCAACGGCCAGAUCCUCGCCUUCAACGAGAUUUUUGAGAAGAACCCCACCACAAUCGAGAACUUUGGUAUCUGGCUGCGUUACCAAAGCAGGACAGGAUACCACAACAUGUACAACGAGUACAGCGACACCACCCUCAAUGGCGCGGUCGAGCAGAUGUACACUGAGAUGGCUUCUCGCCACUGUGCUGCAUCCAGAUCAUCAAGACAGCCACUGUCCACUCCCAACAUCUGCAAGCGUGAUAACACUAAGCAGUUUCACAAGUCAGACAUCAGGUUCCUGCUGGUCUACCAGAAGGUCAGGCCACCAAGUAGGAAACUGCAGACGACCUUCAAGGCCUCAAGGCCAAACUUGUUCGUGUGAUCUAAGUCAUCCGUCCAUAACCUGUAAGCCCGUCCGUUGUGAAGUACUCCCUCCGUUCCUAAAUAUAAGUCUUUUAAGAAAUUUCAAAUGGAUUACAAUAUACAGAUGUAUGUAGACAUUUUAGAGUGCAGAUUCACUUAUUUUGCUCUGUAUAUAGUCAUUUGUUGGAAUCUCUAGAAAGACUUGUAUUUGGGAACGGAGGGAGUAUACUGCUAGUUCAUAUUAAUAUUAUCCAUAUGCAAAAUGUUUUUUUCCUUGAUUAUAGAUAGCAGUUCCAUGCAAUGGCCUUUAUGGGCUUGACAACACUUGUUUAAUCUGUGUAACCCUUUAUGGGCUUGUCAACACUUGUUUAACCUGUGUACAUUUUUGGUUA